AAGAAAGAAAGAAAAGCCGUAUAGGUCGUCCGUUCGUCUGUCCGUCUGCCUGUCUGUCCGUCCGUCCGUCCGCUCAACUCUCGGUCGUUUUGUUCUUUUGUUUCUUGUUCUUUCUUCUCUUUUUGUCUGUUUAGCCCCACAUGAAGAAAAGGGG
rnacentral:ribozyme from 11 species